rnacentral:rRNA from 1 species
AUGCUUUCACAACUUGACUUCAAAAUAUUUGGUUUGGAGACUAUCAAAGAUCAAUAUGUGCAUGAUGCUGAUUUUAAAGAUGUAAUGCAGAAUUGUAAAGAAGGAAGAAUGUGGAACAAGUUUGUUGUUAACGAUGGAUUUGUGUUUCGUGCUAACAAGCUAUGCAUUCCAGCUAGCUCCGUUCGUCUUUUGUUAUUGCAGGAGGCGCAUGGAGGAGGAUUAAUGGGACACUUUGGCGUGAAGAAGACGGAGGACGUACUUGCUACACAUUUCUUUUGGCCAAAGAUGAGACGGGAUGUUGAGCGUUUUAUUGCUCGCUGCACUACAUGUCAAAAAGCUAAGUCACGACUCAAUCCUCAUGGUUUAUAUAUGCCUUUGCCUGUACCUAGUGUUCCUUGGGAGGAUAUAUCUAUGGACUUUGUUUUAGGUUUACCUCGAACAAAGAAGGGGAGGGAUAGCAUAUUUGUUGUCGUGGAUAGAUUCUCAAAAAUGGCACACUUUAUACCAUGUCAUAAAAGCGAUGAUGCUGUUAAUGUUGCUGAUUUGUUCUUUCGUGAAAUUAUUCGCUUGCAUGGUGUGCCAAAUACUAUUGUUUCAGAUCGUGAUACUAAAUUUCUUAGCCACUUUUGGAGAUGUUUAUGGGCUAAGUUGGGGACUAAACUGCUUUUUAGUACUGCUUGUCACCCCCAAACUGAUGGACAAACUGAAGUAGUCAAUAGAACGUUGUCUACUAUGCUUAGGGCUGUUUUGAAGAAUAAUAAGAAAAUGUGGGAGGAAUGCUUGCCUCAUAUUGAAUUUGCUUAUAAUCGUUCAUUGCAUUCUACUACUAAGAUGUGCCCUUUUGAAGUUGUGUAUGGUUUCCUACCUCGUGCACCUAUUGAUUUGUUGCCUCUUCCAUCUUCGGAGAAGGUUAAUUUUGAUGCUAAACAACGUGCUGAAUUGAUUUUAAAAAUACAUGAGUUAACUAAGGAAAACAUUGAGCGUAUGAAUGCUAAAUAUAAACUUGCUGGAGAUAAGGGUAGAAAACAUGUUGUGUUUGCACCUGGAGAUCUUGUUUGGUUACAUUUGCGUAAGGAUAGAUUUCCUGAUUUGCGCAAAUCAAAGCUAAUGCCACGUGCUGAUGGUCCCUUUAAGGUGUUAGAGAAAAUAAAUGAUAAUGCAUAUAAACUUGAGCUGCCUGCAGAAUUUGGGGUUAGUCCCACUUUUAACAUUGCAGAUUUGAAGCCUUAUUUGGGUACUUUCGUUUCUUGGUAA